GAUGAACGCUGGCGGCGUGCCUAACACAUGCAAGUCGAACGGGGUUAUAUUGAGGAAGUUUUCGGAUGGAAUCGAUAUAACCUAGUGGCGGACGGGUGAGUAACGCGUGGGUAACCUGCCUCAUACAGGGGGAUAACAGCUGGAAACGGCUGCUAAAACCGCAUAAGCAUACAGUACCGCAUGGUACGGUGUGAAAAUAUUUAUAGGUAUGGGAUGGGCCCGCGUCUGAUUAGCUAGUUGGUGGGGUAAGAGCCUACCAAGGCGACGAUCAGUAGCCGGCUUGAGAGAGUGACCGGCCACAUUGGGACUGAGACACGGCCCAAACUCCUACGGGAGGCAGCAGUGGGGAAUAUUGCACAAUGGGGGAAACCCUGAUGCAGCGACGCCGCGUGAGUGAAGAAGUAUUUCGGUAUGUAAAGCUCUAUCAGCAGGGAAGAAAAUGACGGUACCUGACUAAGAAGCCCCGGCUAACUACGUG
rnacentral:rRNA from 1 species